rnacentral:rRNA from 2 species
UGCCAUUGAUAUAUAGAAAGAUAUUUAACGGCCGCGGUAUUUAUGACCGUGCAAAGGUAGCAUAAUCAUUAGUCUUUUAAUUGGAGGCUUGUAUGAAAGGUUUGACAAGAGAAAUUCUGUCUGUUUAAUAGAACUUGAAUUUAACUUUUAAGUGAAAAGGCUUAAAUGAUUUGGAGGGACGAUAAGACCCUAUAAAGUUUUAUAAAAAGUAAUUUUUUAUUAAGUAUUAAAGGUAAGGAUUUAUAUUUUUAUUGGGUUGGGGUAACUGUAGUAUAAUUGUUAGUUAAUUGCUAUUUGAUUUAAAACAAAUAUAUUUGUUUAGAAGUUAAAUGAUCCUCUAAAUUAUUUAAAGAUUAAAAGAUUAAGUUACUUUAGGGAUAACAGCGUUAUUUUUUUUGAGAGUUCUUAUCGAAAAAAGAGUUUGCGACCUCGAUGUUGAAUUAAAAUUUCUAUAUAGUGCAGUUGUUAUAUAAAGAAGGUCUGUUCGACCUUUAAUUUUUUACAUGAUUUGAGUUCAGACCGGCGUGAGCC